rnacentral:ncRNA from 2 species
UGAAUAAUAAUAGUAUUAGGUGCUGCCAUUUAUUAAAAAUGCAGUUAAAAGGGAAAGUGGAAGAACCACUGCAGCCCACCGCUACUGUGAGGAUGAUGAAACCUUAUUAUGCCACUGGAUAAUUUAUCUGGGAAGACAAGGGAGUAAAAUGAAUCCGAGCCAGGAAACCUGCCUGAUAUUUGUUGAUUCU